rnacentral:rRNA from 1 species
CCUACGGGAGGCAGCAGUGGGGAAUAUUGGACAAUGGGCGAAAGCCUGAUCCAGCAAUUCCGCGUGUGUGAAGAAGGCCUUCGGGUUGUAAAGCACUUUAGUGGGGGAAGAAACAGCUUGGCCACACCAAGCCUUGACGGUACCCCAAGAAUAAGCACCGGCUAACUCUGUGCCAGCAGCCGCGGUAAUACAGAGGGUGCAAGCGUUAAUCGGAUUUACUGGGCGUAAAGGGUGCGUAGGUGGCUAUUUAAGUCGGAUGUGAAAGCCCGGGGCUCAACCUCGGAAUUGCAUUCGAUACUGAGUGGCUAGAGUUCGGUAGAGGGCGGCGGAAUUUCCGGUGUAGCGGUGAAAUGCGUAGAUAUCGGAAGGAACAUCAAUGGCGAAGGCAGCCGCCUGGGCCUGGACUGACACUGAGGCACGAAAGCGUGGGUAGCAAACAGGAUUAGAUACCCUGGUAGUCCACGCCGUAAACGAUGAGAACUUGACGUUGGUUCGUUUUACGAAUCGGUGUCGCNGCUACGACGAUAAGUUACUCCGUCCGUCGGGGUAGGUACGGGCCGGCCGAACGGUUAGGUAAACGUUAACGUAAGUAAGUAAGUAGGACGGUCGUAGAGUAGUCGACGACGACGACCGACGGAGGGAGGAGG